GAUGAACGCUGGCGGAAUGCUUUACACAUGCAAGUCGAACGGCAGCACGGGGCAACCUGGUGGCGAGUGGCGAACGGGUGAGUAAUACAUCGGAACGUGCCCAAUCGUGGGGGAUAACGUAGCGAAAGUUACGCUAAUACCGCAUACGAUCUACGGAUGAAAGCGGGGGAUCGCAAGACCUCGCGCGAAUGGAGCGGCCGAUGUCAGAUUAGGUAGUUGGUGGGGUAAAGGCUCACCAAGCCAACGAUCUGUAGCUGGUCUGAGAGGACGACCAGCCACACUGGGACUGAGACACGGUCCAGACUCCUACGGGAGGCAGCAGUGGGGAAUUUUGGACAAUGGGGGCAACCCUGAUCCAGCCAUGCCGCGUGAGUGAAGAAGGCCUUCGGGUUGUAAAGCUCUUUCGGCCGGGAAGAAAUCGCACGGGCUAAUACCCUGUGUGGAUGACGGUACCGGAAUAAGAAGCACCGGCUAACUACGUGCCAGCCGCCGCAGUAACAC
rnacentral:rRNA from 1 species